CAUACCAUUUCAAGGCAAAGACUGAGACAUGCAUAGAAUAAUACGGAUAACUUCCAAGAAAAGUUACUCUAAUACACAUAACACAUCUAAGAGUUGAAAUACUGGAUCCUGUCCCAAAGUCCUAGAGACAUGGUAAUCUGGAAUUUCAAACUCAUUGAAGUGGAUCCAUGUUUCUGGCAACCAACUAAACUGCUGGAGCUCUUUUUAACUCUUCAAGGUACAGCAAUGAAUGCAGAAUCUCUGCGGAGUGAACCUGUAUCACUUCUUGGAGUGAAUCACAUUUCAUAAGGAUGAUGACAAUGAUGAUAUAACAAUAGCAGCAGCCACAAUAAACCACUGAAAGUAUGAUUGAAAAAUAAAAAAUAAAAAGACUUAAGAAGGCUAGUUUGGUACUGCACUUUCAGGAAGGACCAGAAUAUCUUGCAGACCCAGAUGUAAACCAGGCUCCAGUGUUUCAUUUUCAGUCAACUGGUUGUAUGGAAUUCUCAUGAGUCAAAAGAUGGGGACUGAAGGAAAGGAGGCCAUGAAGAAAAAAAUCAGUUUCAAAAAAAAAACAACUGAAACAUUUGCUUAUGCAACUUACCUGUAUAUCCUGGUCUUGCUCAAACACACUUUUUAUCUAUUACUUCUAC